rnacentral:piRNA from 1 species
UGAGUUUCUCCUCCUACCCCCACC